rnacentral:rRNA from 1 species
GAAGUCUGGUGUCCAGCAGCCGCGGUAAUUCCAGCUCCAAUAGCGUAUAUUAAAGUUGCUGCAGUUAAAAAGCUCGUAGUUGAAUUUCGGGACUAUUAUGUCGGUCGUGCCUCGGUACGUACUGGUAUUUUGGUUUCUCCCUUCUGACGAACCUUGAUGUCAUUAAUUUGGUGUCUUGGGAAAUCAGGACUGUUACUUUGAAAAAAUUAGAGUGUUUAAAGCAGGCUCACGCUUGAAUACAUUAGCAUGGAAUAAUGAAAUAGGACGUUUGAUUCUAUUUGUUGGUUUCUAGGGAUUGACGUAAUGAUUAAUAGGGAUAGUUGGGGCAUUAGUAUUCAAUUGUCAGAGGUGAAAUUCUUGGAUUUAUUGAAGACUAACUACUGCGAAAGCAUUUGCCAAGGAUGUUUUCAUUAAUCAAGAACGAAAGUUAGGGGAUCGAAGACGAUCAGAUACCGUCGUAGUCUUAACCAUAAACUAUGCCGACUAGGGAUCGGAUGAUGUUAAUUUUUUAAUGACUCAUUCGGCGCCUUACG